CCUACGGGGGGCAGCAGUGGGGAAUAUUGCACAAUGGGGGAAACCCUGAUGCAGCGACGCAGCGUGAGUGAAGAAGUAAUUCGGUAUGUAAAGCUCUAUCAGCAGGGAAGAAAAUGACGGUACCUGAGUAAGAAGCCCCGGCUAACUACGUGCCAGCAGCCGCGGUAAUACGUAGGGGGCAAGCGUUAUCCGGAUUUACUGGGUGUAAAGGGAGCGUAGACGGCAGUGCAAGUCUGGAGUGAAAGGCGGGGGCUCAACCCCCGGACUGCUGUGGAAACUGUACGGCUGGAGUGCAGGAGAGGUAAGUGGAAUUCGUAGUGUAGCGGUGAAAUGCGUAGAUAUUAGGAGGAACACCAGUGGCGAAGGCGGCUUACUGGACUGUAACUGACGUUGAGGCUCGAAAGCGUGGGGAGCAAACAGGAUUAGAUACCCUUGUAGUC
rnacentral:rRNA from 1 species